CGACCUCAGAGCAGGCGAGAUUACCCGCUGAAUUUAAGCAUAUUAUUAAGCGGAGGAAAAGAAACUAACUAGGAUUUCCUCAGUAGCGGCGAGCGAACAGGAAAGAGCCCAGCACCGAAUCCCGCGGUUCCGCCGCAGGGAAAUGUGGUGUUUGGGAGGAUCCGCUUAUCCCGAGGCGUCGCGUCGCGUCCAAGUCCAUCUUGAAUGGGGCCACUUACCCGUAGAGGGUGCCAGGCCCGUAACGACCGGUGCGCGUCUCGGGAAGAUCUCUUCUUAGAGUCGGGUUGCUUGAGAGUGCAGCUCUAAGUGGGUGGUAAACUCCAUCUAAGGCUAAAUACGACCACGAGACCGAUAGCGAACAAGUACCGUGAGGGAAAGUUGAAAAGAACUUUGAAGAGAGAGUUCAAGAGUACGUGAAACCGUUCAGGGGUAAACCUAAGAAACCCAAAAGAUCGAACGGGGAGAUUCAUCGUCAGCGGCGCUGGCUUCGCGUCGGUGGGCGAUGUCCCGCGGAGUCCUCGCGGCUCGCGCGCGGGCACGCUACCGUGCGUUGAUGUCCGGCUGUCGUCGUCGUGCACUUCUCCCCAAGUAGAACGUCGCGACCCGCUGGGUGUCGGUCUACGGCCCGGGUGCGGUGACUGUCGCGUCGCCGGUAAAACGGCACGCGACAAACCCUCGGUCGCCAGGCCGGCUGCUCGGCGGUACGCGCAAGUUAUCAGGCCGCACUUCUACACGGUCCGUCGAGGCCGUCGCAAGCGCGCGCCACAGUACUCGGAGGUUACGGACUUUGCGCCGUCCCUGGUCCUGGCCCGCUGUUGGUUAAAGUACGGAUCAUCUUCGACAGGCCUGCGAACGUCUCUCUCACGGGGGACGGAUACCGACGCUACUACUUUGGGUACUCUUAGGACCCGUCUUGAAACACGGACCAAGGAGUCUAACAUGUACGCGAGUCAUUGGGACUUGUCGCGAGACCUAAAGGCGUAAUGAAAGGGAAGGUCGGCCCUGGCCGUCGACCGAGGGAGAAUGGGCCACGUCGCGAUGCGGCCUCGCACUCCCGGGGCGUCUCGUUCUCGACGCGAGAAGAGGCACACCCAGAGCGUACACGUUGGGACUCGAAAGAUUGUGAACUAUGCCUGGUCAGGACGAAGUUAGGGGAAACCUUGAUGGAGGUCCGUAGCGAUUGUGACGUGUAAAUCGAUCGUCGGAACUGGAUAUGGGCGAAAGACUAAUCGAACCAUCUAAUA
rnacentral:ncRNA from 1 species